rnacentral:rRNA from 1 species
GACGAACGCUGGCGGCGUGCUUAACACAUGCAAGUCGAACGGAAAGGCCCUGCUUUUGCGGGGUGCUCGAGUGGCGAACGGGUGAGUAACACGUGAGUAACCUGCCCUUGACUGUGGGAUAACUUCAGGAAACUGGGGCUAAUACAGGAGAGGAGCUCCUGCAGCAUGGGGGGGGUUGGAAAGUUUCGGCGGUGGGGGAUGGACUCGCGGCUUACCAGCUGGUUGGGGGAGUAGUGGCUUACCAAGGCUUCGACGGAUAGCCGGCCUGAGAGGGUGGCCACCCACCUUACUCCUACGGGACGCAGCAGUCUGCUACGUUAGGCAACGGGCGAAAGUAUUGCCCAGCGAGGCCGCGUGUGUUACGACGGUCCCCCGUUCGGAAAGCCCGCCUACGGGUGAUGAACCGCUUUCGCCUGUGCCGAAGCGUGCGUGACGGUACUGAGUAAAGAAGCACCGGCUAACUACGUG